GGCAUGUGCAGCGGCCUCCAAAUGGCUGCCGCCACUGCAGAAAGGCCUGAAACAGGUCAGGGGAGGCCAGCAGGGGGACAUCAGGAGGCCCACCAUGUCCACAGCAGCACCCCCUGAAGCCCCACAAUGGUGGAUCUCACAAGACGUGAUGUUCAUUUUGGAGAAAAGGUGACUCUGCAGCAUCCCCCCUGACAUCACCAUGGAGACCUUCAUUGAGAACUCCCACUUGUAACCUUUAUUCCAACAUCGGUUUGUUUUGUCUCCUAGCUACCCAUCCUCUCCCUCUGUGUGUGUGUGUGUGAAGGUUUGCCUGUGUAUGCCAAGGCAAUCUUUUCUCUAAUCUAUGCAUCUCCCUUGUGAAUGCUCCGUUGAAGGAAUCAUCUCUCACACCUUUGACUCCUUUCACUACUAACUGACAGUGUGCUUUCCAGCUCACAACGACUACUACGUUUCCACAUAUGCUUCAAACUUAAAAGUCUGUCAGUCUGUAGCAUCUUAAUAACAAUGCAGUGAACAGUAGAAGCAAGCAUGGAUUAGCCAAGAAUAAAUCUUGCCAGACUAAUAUUA